rnacentral:misc_RNA from 1 species
GAAAUGCGAUAAGUAAUGUGAAUUGCAGAAUUCAGUGAAUCAUCGAAUCUUUGAACGCACCUUGCGCCUUUUGGUAUUCCGAAAGGCAUGCCUGUUUGAGUGUCAUGUAAUCUCAACCCCUCAGGUUUCUGACCUGGGGCGGUUGGACUUGGGUGCUGCCGCUUGGCUCACCUUAAAAGCGUCAGUGGGAUAAGCACCGGUUGGACGUAAUAAGUUUCGUCAAGCCCUGGUGUGAUGCCUGCUCACAACCCCCAUCUUUUAACUUGACCUCAAAUCAGGUAGGACUACCCGCUGAACUUAA